rfam:Mesitornis unicolor contig94308, whole genome shotgun sequence.
ACAAAGGCUCUUUUAAGAGCCACCACAUGCACAUCCAAAAGGGCUGU